UUUAAAGUCUGAUCUGCCCUAUGAGGAAUUAAAUGGCCGCGGUACUUUGACCGUGCAAAGGUAGCAUAAUAAUUAGUUUUUUAAUUGAAAGCUGGAAUGAAUGAUUGGACGAGAAAAUAACUGUCUCAAUUUAAUUUUAUUAGAAUUUUAUUUUUAAGUAAGAAAGCUUAAAUUUUAUUAAAAGACGAGAAGACCCUAUAGAGUUUUAUAAUUAGUUUAUUAUUUAUUUUUUAGUAUAAUUUUAUUGGUAAUAGAUUAAUUAUUUUAUUGGGGUGAUAGAAAAAUUUAAUUAACUUUUUUUAUAUUAAUACAUUGAUUUAUGUUUAUAUGAUCCAUUUUUUAUGAUUAAAAGAUUAAGUUACCUUAGGGAUAACAGCGUAAUUUUUUUUUAGAGUUCUUAUCGAAAAAAAAGGUUGCGACCUCGAUGUUGGAUUAAAAUAAAUGCUUGGUGUAGGAGUUAAGCUAUUAGGUCUGUUCGACCUUUAAAAUUUUACA
rnacentral:rRNA from 1 species